rnacentral:tRNA from 1 species
GGCGAAAUAACUCAGUUGGGAGAACGUUGGACUAUAGAUCGAAAAGUCCUUGGUUCAAUCCCGGGAUUCGGCA